rnacentral:lncRNA from 1 species
UGGCAGUUGCUCAGGUUAGUUAGGAUUAACGCUAUGGAUGUAACUCCAGAGAUAUCAGCCUCACCAAAGAAUGACAUUGCGAGUGCUAAUUCCACAGCAUUAAGAUAUGGUAGUAGUAUCAUGAUAUUGCAGAAUGAGGGAAGUAAAGGAGACUUUCAAAUUACUGGAAGUACAGAAACUCUGUUUCGAAUACCUAUCACUAUCUGGGAUGAAAGUCGAUUUGUCCUGAGGGCCUGGGCUCUCUCCAUUAGUGCUUUAGCAUUUUUGCUGCUGCUUUCUUUGGCUGAUGGACGACUGGCUAUCAUUGAAGUAUCAGCAAUUCACACUGAAGUCCUGGGCUACUUUACCAACUGCCAACGGCACACCUGCCCCAAACUAGACAAGGUCACAGUGAGUAAACACCUGGGAAUGGGCUUCAUGAUCCUUGCCCUGGCCACUGAGACUUUCUGCCUCUUCUUCAUGGGCUUCUCUUUCCGGCCCAUCUUCCGAAGAAUCAAUCGCUGUGAUUUGGUCUUUGGUAUCCUCAACUAUACCACUGUAUGCUGCUCUUCAGUAUCGAAUGCUGGAACCUCCACUUCGACAAAGUCACCUUCGUUCCCCCUUACUAUUUGUGCUGGGCUAGCUCCCUGAUACUGAUCUUGUCAGGCACCCUCUGCCUGAUCAACUACUGGCAUACCUUCAGGGUUCCCACCUCGCCCUCGAAGCCCGGCUCGAUGAUCGCGCUGCAGGGAUCCUCGUCUUCCUACUCCCAUAACGUGAUGAAAAAACUCCGGGUGGGGCGACGCAGGACCACCUUCCAAAUUACGCCCCAUCUGUCCUAGCGAGCCCCGGCCUCCUACUGCCUCCCUCCACUGGCAUGCCCCCAAUUCAUUCAAUUCAAUGUCCCCAAUAAAACUUGCCCGUCUUCGAGUCCUAGAACUUUU